rnacentral:rRNA from 1 species
AUUGAACGCUGGCGGCAGGCCUAACACAUGCAAGUCGAGCGAGCGGCGGACGGGUGAGUAAUGUAUGUGGCUCUGCCCGAUAGAUGGGGAUACCUACUGGUAACGGUUGCUAAUACCGCACACUACCGCAUGAACCCAUAUGGGAUUAGCUUGUAGGUGGGGUAAAGGCUCACCUAGGCGACGAUCUCUAGCUGGUCUGAGAGGAGGAUCAGCCACACUGGGACUGAGACACGGCCCAGACUACUACGGGAGGCAGCAGUGGGGAAUAGUGGACAAUGGGCGAAAGCCUGAUGCAGCCAUGCCGCGUGUAUGAAGAAGGCCUUAGGGUUGUAAAGUACUUUCAGCGGGGAGGCGUUACCCGCAGAAGAAGCACCGGCUAACUCCGUGCCAGCAGCCGCGGUAAUUC